AACGAACGCUGGCGGCAUGCCUAACACAUGCAAGUCGAACGAGAUCUUCGGGUCUAGUGGCGCACGGGUGCGUAACGCGUGGGAAUUUGCCCUUUGGUUCGGAAUAACAGUUGGAAACGACUGCUAAUACCGGAUGAUGACGAAAGUCCAAAGAUUUAUCGCCAGAGGAUGAGCCCGCGUAGGAUUAGCUAGUUGGUGUGGUAAAGGCGCACCAAGGCGACGAUCCUUAGCUGGUCUGAGAGGAUGAUCAGCCACACUGGGACUGAGACACGGCCCAGACUCCUACGGGAGGCAGCAGUGGGGAGUAUUGGACAAUGGGCGAAAGCCUGAUCCAGCAAUGCCGCGUGAGUGAUGAAGGCCUUAGGGUUGUAAAGCUCUUUUACCCGGGAUGAUAAUGACAGUACCGGGAGAAUAAGCUCCGGCUAACUCCGUGCCAGCCGCCGCAGUAAAAC
rnacentral:rRNA from 1 species